rnacentral:rRNA from 1 species
UUCCCCUAGUAACGGCGAGUGAAGCGGGAUCAGCUCAAACUUAAAAUCUCCGUUGCUUGCAACGGCGAAUUGUAGUCUCGAGAAGCGUUUUCAAGGCGGAUGCGCAGUACUUAAGUUGCUUGGAACGGCACAUCGUAGAGGGUGACAAUCCCGUACGUGGUACUGUGCAUCGUUCACGAUGCGCUUUCUAUGAGUCGGGUUGCUUGGUAAUGCAGCCCAAAAUGGGAGGUAAACUCCUUCUAAAGCUAAAUAUUGGCACGAGACCGAUAGCGAACAAGUACCGUGAGGGAAAGAUGAAAAGCACUUUGAAAAGAAAGUUAAUAGUACGUGAAACCGUUAGGAGGGAAGCGCAUGGAAUUAGCAAUGCACUGUCGAGAUUCAGACGAUCGGUGCUCAGUACGGGCUUCGUACGGAUCCGAAUGGACCGUUGGCGUUCGUCACUUAGUACUGGUUGUCGCAUUUCCCGUCAGUGUGCGUCAACAGGUGUUGGAACCGAGUGAUACGCCUCGCAAAAAGGUAGCUGGUUUCGGUCAGUGUUAUAGCUUGUGAUGUGCUAGCUCGGAUCCGACAGAGGUGUCGCAGCACAUGCCCUCACGGGCUGGCUUCUGCUUCCUCAGUUUGGCGUGACCAUAGCGGACUGCAUGCAGUGCGCUUGAACUUCCUCAGGCUGUCGGAGGCAAGAAUGCACACUAUGUGCUUAGGUUGUUGGCGGUCAUAUGGUUUCAUGCGACCCCGUCUUGAAACACGGACCAAGGAGUCUAACAUGUGUGCGAGUCUUAGGGUGAUUUGAAACCCGCAGGCACAAUGAAAGUAAAGGCUCUUUGAGCUGAGGUGAGAUCUCUUUUGACUUUCGGUUGAAGAGCGCAUCAUCGACCGACCUAUUCUACUCCUAGAAAGGUUUGAGUAAGAGCACAUCUGUUGGGACCCGAAAGAUGGUGAACUAUGCUUGAGUAGGGCG